AUUAGCUAGUUGGUAAGGUAAAAGCUUACCAAGGCGACGAUGGGUAGCCGACCUGAGAGGGUGAUCGCCCACACUGGAACUGAGACACGGUCCAGACUCUUACGGGAGGCAGCAGUGGGGAAUAUUGCACAAUGGGCGAAAGCCUGAUGCAGCAGCGCCGCGUGAGCGAUGAAGGUCUUCGGAUCGUAAAGCUCUGUCCUCAAGGAAGAAUUUUGACGGUACUUGAGGAGGAAGCCCCGGCUAACUACGUGCCAGCAGCCGCGGUAAUACGUAGGGGGCUAGCGUUAUCCGGAAUUAUUGGGCGUAAAGGGUGCGUAGGCGGUCCUACAAGUCAGAGGUGAAAGGCUACGGCUCAACCGUAGUAAGCCUUUGAAACUGUAGGACUUGAGUGCAGGAGAGGAGAGUGGAAUUCCCAGUGUAGCGGUGAAAUGCGUAGAUAUUGGGAGGAACACCAGUUGCGAAGGCGGCUCUCUGGACUGUAACUGACGCUGAGGCACGAAAGCGUGGGGAGCGAACAGGAUUAGAUACCCUGGUAGUCCACGCCGU
rnacentral:rRNA from 1 species